GACGAACCGUCCUAACGUUGUUCGGAAUCACUGGCUUAAAGGGCGCGUAGGCGGGUUCCCAAGUCGGUGGUGAAAUCUUUCGGCCCAACCGGAAAACAGCCGCCGAUACUGGGAGUCUUGAGGGAGGUAGGGGUCGAUGGAACUUCCGGUGGAGCGGUGAAAUGCGUAGAUAUCGGAAAGAACGCCGGUGGCGAAAGCGAUCGACUGGACCUUUUCUGACGCUGAGGCGCGAAAGCCAGGGGAGCAAACGGG
rnacentral:rRNA from 1 species